AAUAGCCUAACGGCUGAACCAGCAACUUGGGAGAAUGCGGUAUAUGUUUUUUAUAAGUAGGCAAAGCCUCGCCUAAGAACCUUCAGGGGUUCAAAGGGUUAAAAGCGUAUAUCAAUGGUUUAUCCAACUAAAUUUCUAGAUAGAAGACUGAUAAUGACAAUUUUCUAUCUAUGUGUCUUGACAAACUAACGUGCCAGCAGUCGCGGUAAGACGGUAAAGACUAGUGUUAUUCAUCUUUAAUAGGUUUAAAGGGUACCUAGACGGUGGAUCUUGCCCCUAAAAGGAACGGAUCUUACUAGAGUUUUAUGGAAGAGGUUAGAUUUAGUAUUAACGGUGGAGAGAUGAAAUUCUUUGAUACUGUUAGGGACUGGUAACGGCGAAGGCGAUCCUCUAAGUAAAAACUGACGUUGAGGGACGAAGGCUUGGGUAGCGAACAGGAUUAGAUACCCUAGUAGUCCAGGCAGAGAAUGAUGAGUGCCAUAGGUUAGAUUUAUUUUGAUCUAUAAAUGAAAGUGUAAGCAUUCCACCUCAAGAGUAAUGUGGCAACGCAGGAACUGAAAUCAUUAGACCGUGUCUGAAACCAGUAGUGAAGUAUGUUAUUUAAUUCGAUGGUCCUCGAAAAACCUUACCACAAUUUGAAUAUUAUUAAAUUAUUACAAGUGUUGCACGGCUGUCUUCAGUUAAUGUCGUGAGAUGCAGGUUAGCUCCAUAAAUUAACGUAAACCCUUGCUUUAUUUUUUAUAUAUAGCAGUUCUCUAAUACAUCGGAUAAGAUAACAGGGACCAAGACAAGUCAUCAUGACCUUAAUAUUG
rnacentral:rRNA from 1 species